rfam:Emiliania huxleyi CCMP1516 EMIHTscaffold_3799_Cont12265, whole genome shotgun sequence.
GCUCUUAUAGUCUAGCGGUUAGGACUAUCGGUUCUGAUCCGAUCAGCCCAGGUUCGAUCCCUGGUAGGAGCU